GUUGAGGUGGCAGAGCCCGGUAAUUGCAAAAGACCUAAGCCCUUUAAACAGAGGUUCAAAUCCUCUCCUCAACU
rnacentral:tRNA from 1 species